rnacentral:rRNA from 1 species
UACGGGGGAGCAAGCGUUGUUCGGAUUUACUGGGCGUAAAGGGCGCGUAGGCGGCCACCGCAAGUCGACUGUGAAAUCUCCGGGACUUAACCCGGAAAGGUCAGCCAGAUACUGCGGGGCUAGAGUGCAGAAGGGGCAACUGGAAUUCCCGGUGGUCAGCGGUGAAAUGCGCAGAGUAUCGGGAAGAACACCCGUGGCGA